GUUGCUGUUGCUGCUCUGCUCCAGCUGCUGCUGUUGCUGCUGCUGCUGCAAAUGCUGCUGCUGCUGCUGCUGGAGGAGCAGCGACUGCUGC
rnacentral:sRNA from 1 species